GAGGGAAAUAGCUGCCCGAAAGGGUAAUUAAUGUCCCAUAGGAGCCUCCCCCACAAGAGGGAGUCUUUAAAGGAGCAAUCCGCGUUGAGAUUGGAGUAUGUUCCAUUAGCUAGUUGGCGGGGUAAUGGCCCACCAAGGCAAUGAUGGAUAGCUGGUCUAAGAGGAUGAACAGCCACAAUGGGAUUGAGAUACGGCCCAUAUUCCUACGGGAAGCAGCAGUAGGGAAUCUUCCACAAUGGGCGAAAGCCUGAUGGAGCGAUGCCAUGUGAAUGAUGAAGGUCUUUUUGAUUGUAAAGUUCUUUUAUUGGGGAAAAUGAUGAUGGUACCCGAUGAAUAAGUGACAGCAAACUAUGUGCCAGCAGCUGCGGUAAUACAUAGGUCGCAAGCGUUAUUCGGAUUUAUUGGGCGUAAAGCAAGCGCAGGCGGACGAGUAAGUUCUGUGUUAAAAGCAGCAGCUCAACUGUUGUUUGCGCCGAAUACUGCUCGUCUAGAAUACGGUAGAAAGUUUCGGAAUUGAAUAUGGAGCGGUGGAAUGUGUAGAUAUAUUCAAGAACACCAGAGGCGAAGGCGGAAACUUAGGCCGCUAUUGACGCUUAGGCUUGAAAGUGUGGGGAGCAAAUGGGAUUAGAUACCCCAGUAGUCCACACCGUAAACGAUGGAUAUUAGAUGUUGGAACUUGAGUUUCAGCGUUGUAGCUUACGUGUUAAAUAUCCCGCCUGAGUAGUACAUAUGCAAAUAUGAAACUCAAG
rnacentral:rRNA from 1 species